rnacentral:lncRNA from 1 species
CCCUCCCUCUCAAAUUCAACCGUCUCCACCCAAAACCCCUCAGAUUCUCCUCAUCCCCAAAAAUCUCCGCCACAAUCUCCGUCGGCGACAAGCUUCCCGAAUCCACCUUCUCUUUCCUAGACCCCGCCGGCGAGGUCCAAACCAUAACCGUUUCCGACCUAACAAAAGGCAAAAAGGCCGUCCUCUUCGCCGUCCCGGGAGCCUUCACACCCACCUGCUCUCAGAAACACGUCCCGGGAUUCGUCCAGAAAUCAGCCGAGCUAAAAGCGAAAGGCGUCGACACCAUCGCUUGCAUUUCGGUGAACGAUGCGUUCGUGAUGAAAGCGUGGAAGGAGGAU